CCAAUAGCGUAUAUUAAAGUUGUUGCAGUUAAAAAGCACGUAGUUGAACCUCGGGAUCAAUGGAUCGGUCAUGCCAUCGGUAUGUACUGGUCUCAUUGGUUCUCACCUUCUAAGGAACCAUGAUGUCAUUCAGUUGAUGUUGUGGGGAAUUAGGACUGUUACCUUGAAAAAAUUAGAGUGUUUAAAGCAGGCUAACGCUUGAAUACAUUAGCAUGGAAUAAUGAAAUAGGACAUCGCAUUCUAUUUUGUUGGUUUCUAGGAUCGAUGUAAUGAUUAAUAGGGAUAGUUGGGGGCAUUAGUAUUCAAUUGUCAGAGGUGAAAUUCUUGGAUUUAUUGAAGACUAACUACUGCGAAAGCAUUUGCCAAGGAUGUUUUCAUUAAUCAAGAACGAAAGUUAGGGGAUCGAAGACGAUCAGAUACCGUCGUAGUCUUAACCAUAAACUAUGCCGACUAGGGAUCGGAUGAUGUUGAUUUUUUAAUGACUCAUUCGGCACCUUACG
rnacentral:rRNA from 1 species